CAUCUAAGUACCCCGAGGAAAAGAAAUCAACCGAGAUUCCCCCAGUAGCGGCGAGCGAACGGGGAGCAGCCCAGAGCCUGAAUCAGUGUGUGUGUUAGUGGAAGCGUCUGGAAAGGCGCGCGAUACAGGGUGACAGCCCCGUACACAAAAAUGCACAUGCUGUGAGCUCGAUGAGUAGGGCGGGACACGUGGUAUCCUGUCUGAAUAUGGGGGGACCAUCCUCCAAGGCUAAAUACUCCUGACUGACCGAUAGUGAACCAGUACCGUGAGGGAAAGGCGAAAAGAACCCCGGCGAGGGGAGUGAAAAAGAACCUGAAACCGUGUACGUACAAGCAGUGGGAGCCUCUUUAUGGGGUGACUGCGUACCUUUUGUAUAAUGGGUCAGCGACUUAUAUUCUGUAGCAAGGUUAACCGAAUAGGGGAGCCGAAGGGAAACCGAGUCUUAACUGGGCGUUAAGUUGCAGGGUAUAGACCCGAAACCCGGUGAUCUAGCCAUGGGCAGGUUGAAGGUUGGGUAACACUAACUGGAGGACCGAACCGACUAAUGUUGAAAAAUUAGCGGAUGACUUGUGGCUGGGGGUGAAAGGCCAAUCAAACCGGGAGAUAGCUGGUUCUCCCCGAAAGCUAUUUAGGUAGCGCCUCGUGAAUUCAUCUCCGGGGGUAGAGCACUGUUUCGGCAAGGGGGUCAUCCCGACUUACCAACCCGAUGCAAACUGCGAAUACCGGAGAAUGUUAUCACGGGAGACACACGGCGGGUGCUAACGUCCGUCGUGAAGAGGGAAACAACCCAGACCGCCAGCUAAGGUCCCAAAGUCAUGGUUAAGUGGGAAACGAUGUGGGAAGGCCCAGACAGCCAGGAUGUUGGCUUAGAAGCAGCCAUCAUUUAAAGAAAGCGUAAUAGCUCACUGGUCGAGUCGGCCUGCGCGGAAGAUGUAACGGGGCUAAACCAUG
rnacentral:rRNA from 1 species